rnacentral:tRNA from 1 species
GAGGCCUUAGCUUAAUUGAAAGUGCCUGAGUUGCAAUCAGGGGAUGUAGAGUGUUUACAGGUCUUC